UGCUGAAGUGCCGACUAGUGCUGAAAGUGAAGCUGACAGGAACCGCCGUAUUCUGAGGUUGACCUGUGACACGCUGAGGUCACAGAUUGAGUCGAUGGAGUCGAGGAUGGACUCUGAGAUUAAACGGCUACAGCAGUGUGUCGAGUUGUCGGCGGAGGCCACAUCGGCGGAGAUAGACAGGAGGGCGGAGGAACUGAUUGCACGCUUCACACUGGGAGUCAGACUAGAACAGACGGAGGCGCUGAGGCUGUUGAAAGAUGGUUACUUGGGAGACUGAUUACAUAACCAGCAUGGAUCUCUUUAGUCUGGUGUUGAAACAACUGGAAUCACCUUUAAUGCAACACACUAUCCCAUAUGGAUGGACGCAUUGAUUACAGACCCUCAUAUAGCUCAUGACUGCAGACAGGCACUGAAAUACAUGUAUACAUAAUGGCCUGGUAACAACACAUUUACAUGUCCGACAUUUACAAAUUCCCUUCAUCAUUCCUUCACAAACAUGCCGAUAACUUUAUUCAUUCAUAUCACUGUUCUUAUCGAACAGAUACUUUGUGUGUGUGCCCGAGUAAUUUAUAUGUCACUGUACUAAUAUUUUAUUUCUAUAUAUUUUAAUAAAAAUGCAUGUAAUCAAAUUGUACGAUGCAUGACUACAUUAAAUCGAUUUAAUCUA